UGCCACAAGUACUCCUGUUCUUUUUGCGGAUACAGACUAACACGGCUGCUACUCUGAAACCUGUCAUAAGAAUAUAUGUGCUGGAGGAGCCUCCCCAUCCCUUGGUUGAUUUGCCUCCCUGUUUAAAAGAAGGGGCCAUUUUUUAUUUACUGUGAUUCAGUUCUGCCAUGUAAAACAGAGAAAUAUUUUCACAUCCUUAACUUUAAAAAACACACCUUUUGCCAUUUCUACAUCUGCCGUAGGCCGAGAUUUCGGAAAGUCAUGACCGAUGAUAGAGACAAAGGUUAAGGUGCGUUCCCCAGGAGACCUGAAUUUUAAGCCCCUAGUUUCAUAGUAUUUCCUACUGCACAGCGGUUUGGGAGGGUAAUAAACACACUAAAGGUUACCAAGUGCUCAGGUACAGGGCUGUGGAGAGAAAUUUGGGGCCCUGGUACCCCCCCUCAUCACGACAGUUACAGAUGUUUUGGGGGACCGAUUGUCCCCCUUCUUGUCCGCUCUGCUCAGACACUAUGGAAACGGGACCCAGGUGUCUAUUUUAGGUCGAUCUUUGAGGGCUCAACAUAGUGCAGAAAUUCCUGCGUGAAGUGGCUUUAAACCUCCGUGGGACGUCUCCUCUUCAAACCGGGCUCGACGCCCUAAAAAUCAGGCCUUUUUUACGGUGUUUCGCCUUCGCCGUCCAGAAUCCAUUUUCUGGCAGGAGGUCUUUCCGUGGUUAUCUAGACAGCAAAAGUCAAAAACACCCCGGCACUGGAGGGUGGACGCUUCACCCAAAAGCCAUCGCUCCGUGUCUGACCUCUAAGGCUUCGUUCGCAAAGCAAAUCCUUCCCUCCUGCCAGGCUCUGUACGGACGCAUAGUAAGAGGCGGGUCCAUACCCCAAAGAGCUCGCAAAUAGGCAAGUCAGAGGAAGGGUGGGAGGCGGUAACCCGGGGUUGCAGGUUAGAUCGGUGGCUGAUCUGGGGCUAGAACGCAGGUGUUCUGCCUUAGUCGCUACCCCCAGGCAGCUUCUUGAAACGCUGGAUUUGGGCCGGAGGAAAUCCGGGGUUUGAGUCCCCGCUCUGAUGCAGUCUUCCUGCAUGACUGUGCGGCGCAUCUUCGAUUUGUGCCUCGGUUUCCCUCCUGCCCCUCCCGCUAGCCAUCCUUCCUUUCUCCGGCCAGUCUGUUUAAAAUGGCAAGCGCUAUGGGGCAGGGAGCGUCUGGGAGAGAGGAUGUGAGUGCGUGUCCGGAUACGUACAGCUCCCGGCGCAACGUGGCCCCAAACUCCGUUAGGGACCCGCUGGUGGGGCCGACAAACGCGUCUGUUUUAAUUCGGCUCCCUGCUGCUGCCGGGGCCUCGGCCCGUGCUCUCCGCUGCCCGGAGGAAACCAACUCCCCUGUUUUCAGCCGGGGAAGUCAGCCUGCGGGCUUUUCCUGCGGGGCCACGCCUGGUUUCGGUCUUGUCUCAUCCCUGUGUGUGCGCAAGGGAAAACCCGCUGUGCUCCAGGCUUUUCCAUCCGUGUUGUGAGGAUGGAAAGGGAGAACUGGAUGCAGUGAGGGGUUGUCUAGAUUCGUAGGUUUUUUAUUUAUUUUUCCUAAGCCCAGAAGCAGUCAUUGUAAUCAUCUGCUCCGAUUCUCUUCCUGGGUGUUCCUGACAGUCACUUUAUGAUGCAACUGUUUGCUCUAGGUAGAAAGGACUUUGCUCUGCCUACCUGCUCGCUGGGCAAUGAACCCACGACGCCUGUUCCCAGCAGGCGAUAGUAAAAGCGAUGCCCUCUGGCAGAUCGGGCUUCCCCCCCACUGUAAAUUACAACGUUUGCAGUGCAGAAACAUUUUCGGGGGAGUUGAAACCAAAAAAUGUUUAGGGGACCAGCUUUUUAUUUCAGACUGAAGCAUGUCCCUUAGAAAGUAGGGCCGACCCGUGCUUUUCACGUGGGAGUCUGUUUAUCGCAGGGCUGUAUGCCGCCACCCGUUUUCAGCGUCGGGGGAGUGUCUUCCUUGUAAAUCACCAAACAGCAUCCUAUAGUGGAUGUCUGGGAUUCUUGAGUAUUUUUUUUUUUAAGGCUGGAAGGGACCAUGUAAUCUGACCUCCUGUAAAAUAUCGGCACGUAAGAGCGUCAGACCAUGGCCUGUCUUGCCCAGGACCCUCUGUCCGACAAUGGCCCGUACCAGAGCUGCAGAAAAGUGCGUGAUUCCACCUUGUCCUCCGCUCCUGGCUUCUGGGAGUCAGAGGUCUAGUGUUGCCCUGAGCACGGGUUGCCUCCGAACAUAUCUAGUUCCCUUUCAAACCCGAUUGGCCGUCACAGCAUCCCCUGGCGAGGAGUUCCACAGGUUACUUGUGUGACAAAGCACUUCCCCUUGUUUGUGUUAAACCUGCCGCCUAUGAAUUCCACCAUAGGUGACCUCCUGUUUUUGUGUCGUGUGAAAGAACAAAAUCACAUUUCUCACUUUGCUUUUUCCACAUCCUUUUUAUGAGUUUUUAGACCUCUCUCAUGUCCCCCUUAAUGGGGGCUGUUCAGCUUGGUAAGGAGACCAUCUUUUUAGUCUCUCCUUGUAUGGAAGUUAUUUGACUCCCUGGGGAGAUCCUUGGGGGACCCUGCUUUUUGUGUGUCUCCGUUGUAAAAACUGACCACUUUAUUCCUAUCCUUUGUUUCCCAUCUUGCAACCACUUAGUGAUCCGUGAGAUGUGUCUACAUUGGACAAAAAAAACUCAACCCACAGUAGUGAAUCUCAGAUCUUGGGUUAGCUGACGGAAGACUUCUAAAAUGAUGCAUCUCAGGUUGUUAAUAACACGGACGGGAAAUUUUUAUUUUUUAUAAUUUCGAUGGAUAAUAUCCAUGUUUGUUGUUAAGCAUUUUUCCCCCCAGUUUUUCUCCAUUUAAAAUUUGACAGGUGUGAAAAAUUAUGAGUUUUUAAGCCUUUUUGACUCUCUGUAUUGAUUUUAAAUUUGCAUGGCCAUGGGAAAUUACGGGACCGAUCAGACAACUGUCAGCGACUGUAGCCACCGAUGUUCAGAAAGUUACAGCUUUAUAACCAUUAGAACGCAAAUCGUCAACGGCACAUCCUUAAAUCAAACGGCCAGGCUCGCAAGCAGCCUUUUGAUGUGUCUGCCUAGCUGGAAAUUUCAGUUGCAAUGGACGGGGGAUUUUUUCCCUCCUUUGGUUUUUUGUGACGACCGUGAAAUUGACAUUUACCGACCAAAAUGUGAUUCGUCCAAACCGAAGUAUAUAAAUGUCACCUUUUACACCAGUCUUAAACGCUUCCACGCUGGGCUUAUCUGGUAUAACGGCUGGUCCACAAACCACACCCCGAACAGAGAUAGUUAUGCUGGUACAAAUCCACUUUGGAGGCCAAGCCUUGGUUGAAAAAUUGCAGUUUGCACAUGCUCAUGAGAGGCAGCUCAGCGCUUAGCAGCUAAAAUCUAGGCGAGUGUGUGUGACUUGAAAAACAAGGGGGCGUUGACGUUUAGGAUACGCCGAUUGCUGGGCUUAAUAAUUGUGCUAACGCGGCGCAUUAAAAAGUCCGGCGAUGUCUUGCUGGUUUCCAGGAGCUUUAUUGUUUAAUGGAGCUUGGUUGGAAGGGAAGGAAUUCAAGUCUACACCGUCACUCAAAAGCAGUCCGCAGGUCAGAGGUGAAAGACCUUCGCAGGGUGUUGUGGGUAACUUCUGCCUUGCCAUCUGGAGGGUUAAAACCACAAUUUGCGUUAAAAUGAUUGGAAGAUGGCGCUACAUCUAUAUUUAGUUGUGCAAUCCACGUGAGGCUGGUGGCGGUGCGUUUUCUCUCUUCUCCCCCGUGCUUCGAUGAGAACAGCUGAAAACUUAUUUUUAGUUCUGCUCGAUGUCCUUGUUCAUCACGCAGGCUAACGAUUUUCUCUUGGCCGCCGAAAAGCCCUUGGAGUCCCCUUCAGCCGGGCAAUGCAGAUUUGGGUUAAAGGGACUUGGAACCAAAGGGGAGAUUUUUACAGUCUAAUCCCUGGUGUGACUUCUGAUUGCUCAACUUGGCUGGUGUUCCUCCGAGACUGGCUUCACUGGGUGGUGCUGGAGGGGAACCGUGUUCUUAACUUACGUUAGCUACAAUCCCAGGAAAGGCCAAGGCAGCGUGUGGUUUUCACGCUCGGAUUUUACUCCAUGUUAGCUACCACCAGUUAAGAAUGCACCUUCCCCCCCCCCCCCUUUUACUGAAGACAAGACCUAAAUGAGACGUGGUCAAGUGCCUAGCACCGUGGGGCUCUUGCAGGACAGAUGAGGGACACUGAGGCUCUGAGAGGAAGUGAAUUGUGCCGCGCAGUCCGGAACUGAGUCCAGAUCUCUCGAGUCAGCGCCCCGGGACCAUCCUUGUUCUCAGUUCCCGCCGGGACGGUGCAUCGGCCGCGUCCAGGCAGCCCAGCUGGGGUGGACUGGGUACUCUGCCAGGCGCGUGUGUGUCUGGGACGGGACAGCCAGCCUGCGCGAAGCCUGAAUGCCCCGCCCCGCCGGGAGUGAGGUGACUCACGGCCUUUGUCCGCUCAGCCCUCGGCACGCCCGGCUGCUGUUUGCCUAUUGGCCCUGCCCAGAUGCAAUUCCAGUCGGCUUCUUGCCUUGGGCCCGUGUCUGACGCCGCGCGGCGAGGCCGACGUCCGCCGUCUCGCUGGUGGGAGCGUCUUCUCUGACAUUGGGCCCCUGCUGAUGGACGUUCCUCUCUACGCCGUCCUAAUCUCUCCGCAGCCCGGGCGAAGGUGACCCGCUCGGGGAGGAGACCACGCAGUCAACGGCUCCCUUCGAGCGCUGAGCCGAAAGGCUUCAAUCAGAAGCAGAGGCGGCCAGCAGGAGCCCGGCACAGCCUGGGACUCGUCUCCCGGGCCCUAUAAAUCAUCCUCGUCUUUGGGUGACCGUCUGAUUUCGUGCCGAACGUUGUGUUCCACUCCCGAGCGUGACGGCUGUUUACAGGUGGGGAAACUGAGGCAAGGGAGCGUGAGAGUUGAAGAAGAAUACAGGAAAAUCUGAAGCCGUUCUAGAAAUUGGUAGUUUUGAAUCCAGUCUCCAAAAGGCCGGGGGCAGACGUAGAACAGGGGCUCAGAGGCAAGUGAUGAAAACGAUCAGGAAAGCGCAAAAAGAUUGGGGGUUUGCUUGCUCCAGGAAGGGGGCGUCGUCUAUAAGGUGAUAAACGGGUGAGAGACGGUAGAAUGGGAGCUUCAUAGCACAAGAAGAAGGGAGUAGGAGAUGAAAUUGAAAAGCUGGUAAAUUCAGCACAGACCAAAGGAAAUACUCUUCCCCCGUUGUCCUGUGGAACUAACCGCCACUGGAUUUUGUUGAGUCUGACAAUUUGGCAAGGGAGAACACAUCCUUGCCCCUCCAGCCGCUUUCCCACUAUUCAGCAUCCCAGCCCAGCGCUUGGGGGAAUAAAGACUUCAUUAUGCCCACUUCCUUCUUUCUUUGAAGAGACCUGUAUGCUGCUGACCCUUUGACCAGGACCCCUGAGGUCAUGUCUGAAAAAUGCUACUGGGGCAGAGUGAGGGAGGGAUGGAGGCAGUCUGUACCGUGCAAAGGCUUAUAGCUUGCCCCACUUGGAGUGGAUUUUUACAGGGAUGA